GGCCUAUCGAUAAAUAAGUCAGUGUGUGCUUGACCCUCCGCCGUGCUGGGCCGGAGCGUUAAGUGAUCGAUUGUUUUGUUAGUUUAAUCGAAUAAUAUUAAUUGUCAUAUUAAUUAAUUAUAAUUAUAUUUACAAAAAAAUACUUUUAAUGUGUAGUUGUAUAAGUUUUUGUUAUUAAUAGUUUUCACUACAAAUUCAGGUGUGGGGUAGACCGUUAGCCGAUGCCGGUUAUUGUCCGUUUAUUGUAUCGUUGUUCGUUCGUUGCUUCGUUGAGUUAGAUAAGUUUUAUUCGAAGUGAUUAAUUUAUGUUUUAAUUGUUUCCGUGAUAUUGUAUGCAACUUAAAUAUUUUUGCGAGUUUUGAAUUUAUCCAGUUUGUUCGAGGUUAUUAAGUCCAUGCGGCUACGGAGUCAGUCGGUUUUACCAGCAAGUGACGUCAGAGACGCAAUGUCAGGCGGCAGCACAUCCCCUCUCAUUAUAGAGCCGGAAGGUGAGACGAACUUUAACGCUCAUAACAGCGCGGCUGAUCUGCGUGAUAUAGUGGCUACACUGGUCACUCAAAAUAAUCUUCUAAUGCAGCAGUUACUAUCGAGGAAUAAUCAAAACUCAGAUAACAAUACAGCACCACCCGUUCCCCCAUCUCAAGGAUAUUUCAUCAUGCCCGAUUUCAAUAACAGUAUCAGUAACUUUACAGGCCGCGAGGCAGCUAGGGACGCUCAGCUUUGGCUUCAAUCAGUUGAAAGUGUGGCUAAAUUACAUUGCUGGCCCGAUAACUUUAAACUCGAACUUGUGCGGUUAAAGUUAAUUGGCCCAUCCAAAUAUUGGUACUCUUCGCGCCAGUUUGCCGAUUGGAAUAGUUUUAUUGAACAAUUUACCAGAACGUUUGUUGGAUGCCGACUCGAUACAGUCGAUCGAGUUCGUCUCAUGUCUAAUCGAUUACAGUUAAAGAAUGAUUGCGUUUUUGAAUAUUUUCAUCACAAAAUGCAACUUUGCAGUGACAUUAACCUUACGUUUGAUGAAAGUAAACGACAGAUAGUGGAAGGUUUGUUUUCAAGGGAUUUAUGUCACUACUUGCUUGCUCGUGAUCAUAAAAACGAAGAUGAACUUUUAACUGACAUAAGAAAUUAUGAAAAAAUUGAUAAUGCUCGUCAAGACCGUUUCCGAGUCGAAGGAUCAAUUAAGAGUCGUUACACGCCAUUUACCAGCCCACAUAGAUUUAGAGUAUCUUUUAAUCGAGAGCUCCCUGCUAUUGAGCCUAGACCAUCCAGUCCACCAAUUCAAUCUAGUCAGUCUACGCCGAGGAUAUCCAGCCGUCCAAGAAAUCAGAACGCCAAUGUUAGGUGUUUCAAUUGUGGGUCCAUUAGCCACUAUUCAAGUUCAUGUCCAGCUCGUCGAGAUGAACGUCGUCCAUGUUACCAUUGUCAGUCCGGAGAGCAUCAGUCACGUCAGUGUCCUAGAAGUCAACGGUCCAAUGAUUCCAGCGGUGAGAAUGUAUCAAUUUUAGAACAUAAUUAUAACUGUUUUAUACCCCCCUUUAUGUUAGAUAUCCGUAUAAAAUAUCCCAAUGGCAAUAUUUCUAAUGUUACUGCUCUUAUUGAUACUGGUAGUCCAGUGAGUCUUUUAAAAUCUAGUAUUGUUCCGUAUGUCUCAGGUAUUACUCCCUCUAAGUGUAGUUUGGUAGGUAUUAAUGGGUCACCACUAUGUAUUGUUGAUGAGUUCAUGGCUGAAAUUUUAAAUGGCGAAUUAAAUGUUCCUAUCAGUUUACGGUUCUGUGUAGUGCCCGACCGAACGAUUAAAAACGAUUGUUUACUCGGACGAAAUUUUUUGGCUCAUAAUCGUGUCGAUGUACGUAUUAUUGAUGGGCAGUUCACUAUCUCGUUUAAUACCACUAAUGAAAACCGCUUUGACGAAAUAUUAUCGUUAGAAUAUCAUAAUGACGAUAAUAAUGGUAAUGGCAUUGAUAUCAUCGUAGAGCCUACAUUGCCAUUAAACAUCCGACAAAAGAUUAUCGAUGUAUAUACCCGCAGUUAUUUAACUGUCGAUAACGCGACCGAUCUAACUACUGAAUUAGAAAAUCCGCCGCUGUUGCAUAUUAAAUUAAAAACUGAGGUUCCAAUUUACUUCCGUCCAAGGCGUCUCUCUUUUUUUGAAAAACAACAGUUACAAUUAAUAAUCGAUGAUUUGUUAAGUCGAAAAAUAAUUAGACCUAGCCAGUCAGAAUAUAGUAGUCCAAUUAUCUUAGAUAAGAAGAAAAACGGUGAGCUCCGUCUUUGUAUAGAUUAUCGCGAAAUAAACAAACAUAUGGUUAAAGAUAGAUAGAUAAUUGAUGAUAAUCUCGAUUUACUUCGUGGUAAGCAGUAUUAUAGUUGUAUUGAUUUAAAAGAUGGAUUUCAUCAUAUCAAAAUAGCCGACUAUGUACGACUGUAUUUAGAAACAUUAUCGGAUAAUAAUGGAGAACGUGAUUUUGACAUUAUUAGAAAUAAUGCACAGCAAAAUAUUGAAGAAGGACAACUGCGUAAUAAAAUAUACUAUGAUGUCAAAAGGCGAAAAGCAAUUAAGUAUAACGUAGGUGAUUUGGCGAUGAUAAGGAACAUUGAUACAACUCCUAACGUGUGUAAAAAACUUAUUCCCAAAUUUAAAGGACCCUAUAAAAUCCAUAAAGUACUUCCUAAUGAUAGAUAUGUCGUAGUUGACAUUGAGGGGUUUCAGGUCACUCAAAUUCCUUUAAAUACCAUUAUUGCCGCUAGGGAUAUUAAAUACUGGAUUCGAUCCCAUUAACAUUGAAUUUUAUUUUAUUUUAGUUUGUUUAUUAUUUUAAUUAUUUGCUCAUUAUUAUUAUAUAAAUAUUAUUAUUGUAUGUUAUCAUUAUUUAAUUAAUGUUAUUUAACUGUUAAUUUUAUUAUGUAUUUAUUUAUUGAAUAUGUGAAUUUAUGCGAACUUAUUCUUAUUAAUUAUGUACGCUAAAUAUUAUUGUUCGAGGUCGACCAAUCGUCAGGAUGGCCGAGCUGUAGUAUUCUGUAAUUGUCAUGAAGGCGAUAAGGCCUAUCGAUAAAUAAGUCAGUGUGUGCUUGACCCUACGCCGUGCUGGGCUGGAGCGUUAAGUGAUCGAUUGUUUUUAUGUUACAAUUCCAUGGAGAUGUGAAAUUAUAAGUGAUGAGGAUGUAGAAUUUGUAAUAGAAUAUGUAGAUCUACCAUUUUAUUAUAAACCAGUGGAUAAAGAAUGGUGUAGAGAAAAAUGUAAAAGUUUGGGAUUUACUUAUCAGGAACCAAUUAUGAAUCAGAAGUUAACAUCAAACAUGUUUCCAGUUGAUGUUUUUUUUUGAUAACCAAGGAUUCUUUAUUGUAUUGUCAGAAUUAAUAUGCAGGGACAUUAAAAUUAAUCAUAAUAUUCAUAGAAAUAUUAUAAAAAAUCUAACAAAAAAUGAAGAUAUCCAAAAAUUUGUUAAUAAUGACAGUUGGUUUGAAAAUAAUAUAACACCAGUUAACAAAAACCCUUAUAUUGAAUUCGUAAUUUUUGCUGCAGCUUAUUACUUAGAUGUCUGUAUUUAUGUAUUCAAAAAAGAAUAUGAUGCAUGGACAUACUUUCGAAAAGGAUGGCCAAACUAUAAUGAAAUUAAUAUGAAAAAUGAAAAAUGCAUUUAUCUAUACAUGGAUGAAGAUCAUACUAAUGUUAUGACUAAUAAUUAUUUCAUAGAUACCUGAAUGUCCACACAACAUUUGACAUUUUAUUCACAUGCAUCGGCAUUUAAAGUAAAAAACUUGACAAUUUUAAUGCAAUAGCAGACAUAUUAAUCUAAUAAAUACAUUAAAUUACUCAUUAAAAAUUCUUA